UUUCCAGUCUUAACUUCUCUUCGUUACCACAUCUAGUGAAACUUGAUUUGUCCAACAACUUAAUAUAUGGGACCAUUCCCUCUCAGAUUGGCAGCCUUUCCAGACUCGCAUCUCUUAAUGCGUCCAUCAAUCAUCUUUCGGGAACAAUUCCGACAGAUAUUGGGAUGCUAAGAUCUCUCACUGCCCUUGCAUUGUACACGAAUAACCUCACGGGAUCAAUCCCCGCUUCGAUAGGGAACUUGAGAAACCUCACAAGAUUGAUCCUUCACGAGAACUCUCUCUCUGGAUCUAUCCCUCAAGAAGUAGGAUUGCUAAGAUCUCUCACUGACCUUGUAUUGUACAAGAAUAAUCUCAUGGGAUCAAUCCCCGCUUCAAUAGGGAACUUGACAAACCUGACAACGUUGUACCUUUACGAGAACUCUCUCUCUGGAUCUAUCCCUCAAGAAGUAGGAUUGCUAAGAUCUCUCAUUGAUCUUGAAUUGUCAACGAAUAAUCUCACGGGAUCAAUCCCCGCUUCAAUAGGGAACUUGACAAACCUCACAGUGUUGUACCUUUCCUGGAACUCUCUCUCUGGAUCUAUCCCUCAAGAAGUAGGAUUGCUGAGAUCUCUCACUGACCUUGUAUUGUACAAGAAUAAUCUCAUGGGAUCAAUCCCCGCUUCAAUAGGGAACUUGACAAACCUGACAACGUUGUACCUUUACGAGAACUCUCUCUCUGGAUCUAUCCCUCAAGAAGUAGGAUUGCUAAGAUCUCUCACUGAUCUUGCAUUGUCAACGAAUAAUCUAACGGGAUCAAUCCCCGCUUCAAUAGGGAACUUGACAAACCUGACAACGUUGUACAUUUUCGAGAACUCUCUCUCUGGAUCUAUCCCUCAAGAAGUAGGAUUGCUAACAUCUCUCACUGACCUUGUAUUGCACAAGAAUAAUCUCAUGGGAUCAAUCCCCGCUUCAAUAGGGAACUUGAGAAACCUCACAAGAUUGAUCCUUCACGAGAACUCUCUCUCUGGAUCUAUCCCUCAAGAAGUAGGAUUGCUAAGAUCUCUCACUGACCUUGUAUUGUACAAGAAUAAUCUCAUGGGAUCAAUCCCCGCUUCAAUAGGGAACUUGACAAACCUGACAACGUUGUACCUUUACGAGAAUUCUCUCUCUGGAUCUAUCCCUCAAGAAGUAGGAUUGCUAAGAUCUCUCACUGGCGUUUCAUUGUACAAGAAUAACCUCACGGGAUCAAUCCCCACUUCAAUAGGGAACUUGACAAACCUGAAAAUGUUGUAUCUUCGCGAGAACUCUCUCUAUGGAUCUAUCCCUCAAGAAGUAGGAAUGCUAAGAUCUCUCACUGAUCUUGCAUUGUACAAGAAUAACCUCACGGGAUCAAUCCCCGCUUCAAUAGGGAACUUGACAAACCUGGCAACGUUGUACCUUUACGACAACUCUCUCUCUGGAUCUAUCCCUCAAGAAGUAGGAUUGCUAAGAUCUCUCAUUGAUCUUGAAUUGUCAACGAAUAAUCUCACGGGAUCAAUCCCCGCUUCAAUAGGGAACUUGACAAACCUCACAGUGUUGUACCUUUCCUGGAACUCUCUCUCUGGAUCUAUCCCUCAAGAAAUAGGCAGUCUUAGAUAUCUACAGGAUCUUGAUAUAAGCUCCAACAAGCUCACCGGUUAUCUAUCGCCGUAUAUGUUCGCUCAUGGAUCCCUCAAACGACUUGUCGUAGCAGAUAACUAUUUAACUUGUCGUAUCCCGAAUAGCUUAAGAAAUUGCAGUGAGUUACGUCGUGUUAGGUUUGAUCAAAACCAAUUGACGGGGCAUUUAUCAGAAGUUUUUGAGGCAUUCCCAAACCUUGAUUAUCUAGAUCUCAGUCAUAAUAAUUUCUAUGGCGAUCUUUGGCACAAAUGGGAUCAGUUUCCCAAUCUGACUAGCCUAAAGAUCUCCAACAAUGACCUUUCUGGAAACAUUCCACCUGGAAUUGUAAGAGCAACUCAGUUACGAUUACUCGACCUCUCUUCAAAUCAUCUAGCUGGUGCGGUACCAAAGAAUUUGGGAAAGUUGGUUUUAUUGUUCAAUCUUACUCUUAGCAAUAACAAACUUUCACGCGAUAUUCCACCAGAAAUUGGAAGCCUGUCUAGUCUUCAGCAUCUAGACUUGUCUGGAAACAAUCUUAGUGGACCUAUUCAAAAGAAGUUGGGUGACUGUGUGAAUCUUCUGAACUUGAAAUUGAGCAGAAAUCUUCUCAGGGAAAGUAUUCCUUUUGAAUUAGGAAAAUUGCAGUCUCUUGAAAAUCUCGAUCUUGGAACUAAUUUAUUAACAGGUGAGAUACCAUCAGGGAUUGGGAGCUUGAAAAGGUUAGAGAUACUAAAUCUCUCCCACAACUUCUUGUCUGGUUCAAUCCCUUUCUCUUUCAACGGGAUGUCAAGUUUAACGUCGGUUGACAUAUCUUACAAUCACUUGGAGGGUCCUCUGCCCAACACAAAAGCAUUUGAAGAUGCUUCAUUUCAAGCAUAUCGAAACAAUGAUAGACUAUGUGGCAAUAAAACUAGUUUGAUGCCAUGCUCACUAAAGCAGAACAAUGGAGAUAAAGGGAGAAAUCAUAAAAAAAUUGUGCUUCAAGUUGUAGUUCCUUUGUUGGGUAUUUUAUUUCUUAUUGUUGCUAUGACUUUCCUGAUCCAUCGCAACAAAAUGAGAGACAACGAAAUUGAGCCAAACAGAGCAAGUAAUAAAGAUUUGUUUGAGAUUUGGAGCUUCGAUGGAAAAUUGGUGUAUGAAAACAUAAUCCAAGCGACGGAGGAUUUCAAUGAUAAGCAUUGCAUUGCAGCAGGUGGAUAUGGCACUGUUUACAGAGCUGAGCUGCCAAGUGGUCAAGUUGUCGCUGUAAAAAAGUACCCUCCUUCCCAAGAUGGCGAGUUGGCUAAUCUGGUAAGUUUUAUGAGUGAGAUUCAUGCAUUGACAGAGAUACGACAUCGGCAUAUCAUAAGGCUUUUGGGUUACUGUUCACAUCCACGACACUCAUUUUUGGUUUAUGAGUUCUUGGAAGGGGGGACCUUGGACAAGAAACUAAGCUGUGAGGAAGAAGCACUAAGUUUGGAUUGGGUUAAGAGGAUAAAUGUUGUUAAAGGUUUGGCAGAUGCUUUGUCAUAUAUGCACCAUGGAUGUUCACCCCGGGUCAUUCAUCGUGAUAUAUCGAGCAAGAAUGUUCUUCUAAACUUAGAAGAUGUCGCUUAUCUAUCUGAUUUCGGAACUGCGAGACUUCUAAACCUGCACUCAUCAAAUUGGACUUCCUUUGCAGGCACCUUGGGAUAUGCUGCUCCAGAACUUGCUUACACAAUGGAGGUGAAUGAAAAGUUAGACGUCUACAGCUUUGGAGUUUUAACACUGGAAGUUGUAAUGGGGAGGCAUCCAGGGGAUCUCAUGUCUUCUCUUUCUUCAUCAUCUUUGGAUUCGUCACCACCAUCUUCUUAUGGUAUUCUGUUGAAGGACGUGUUGGACAAACGGCUCCCACUACCAAGGAAUCAGGAGGAGGAAGCAGUGGUUCUUGCUGUACAGAUAGCACUUGCAUGCUUGCACCCCAACCCGCAGUGCCGACCCACUAUGCAACAAGUUUCUGUGGCUCUAUCAAAACACAAGUCACACUUGCAGAACCCAUUCCUCAUGAUCACAUUAGGACAACUACUUGAUGUCAAUUUUCCAAAUGCGUAAUGAUAUGGUCCAUUUGGAAUGCCAGGAAUCAACUGUUCUUUGAGAAUAAAGCAGUGGUUUGGGUGGAAGUUAUUGAGCUGAUCAAUGCCAGGGUUGCUUUUUGCGUGACAAGAAAUAUUGUUCUUUUGCUUUAGGUGCCAAUGGGUGGGUUGUGUGGUUGCUAGCUGUUGCUUCAUAUCUGGGAUUGGUUGGUUGUGGUGUUGGUUUGUGGCUCUGUUUCUCUUUUCAACUCCUCAGUCCGGAGGGCUAAGAGAUUUGUGGGGCUCUCUAUUGAAGCUGUUAUUGAUGGAGCUAAUUUACGGAUAUGCUUGAAGCUGCACUUAAUUAGCGAUCGAAGGCUGAAGGUUGGCAAUUCCUUGCAUCUGAAAGUUUGUGUCUCCUUGUCUCAUCGCUUACCAACUCCAGUCAAAUUAAUCUCUUGGAGGCAAUUCCUUGUAUCAUCACUUUUCAACUCCUAUCAAAUUAAACUUUUGGAGGGCUAAGGGAGCAAAAUUAGCAGUACUCGUCUGAAGAGCUUACCUAAUGGAAGUGGAGAUCCAUACACUGAAGUCGUUAUUGGUGGGGAUAGAUACUCAAAGGUGAUUCAUCAUGCUUUGUAACUGCACUUAGUAAAGGCUGAGGCUUGUGGUGAUCUAUGAAGCUGCCAUACCUCUCCAUGCUUUUUCUGGAUUUCAUUGGAUUCUAUUUACUGUGUUGUGGUUGAUUUUCGGAACAAGUUUCCUAUUUUUGUAAUGUUCCGUAAUUUUUUUUUUUUUUGGGUGUAUGGUGCACAUAUUGUUUGUUGGCAUGCAGUGACCGAGUCCUCAAGUCGCACAUAGACUAAUAAGGCUGGAUUUCAUAUACUCCGCUAUACAAUAAUCCUUGUUCGAUGGUAGACAC